CCACCGCAGGGUUGUGUGCAGCGUCAGCCGUCCUGCUGUGCACACUGAGAGGCCGUCUGAAGCAGUGUUUUGCUUCCGAGUGCUUAGCCCCUCCCACCUCACUCAGCAGCGUGUACCAGCACCAAAAGCAGCAGCAGCAGCAGCAGCUUUCCUCUCACUGCUCCUCGGCUCUCACUCGGUCUUCCUGCACUGUGCUGCCCUCAUACACUGUACUGAGGUUCGGCUUCCAGGCAGCCCCUACAGGAAGGAGAAAGAUAGACAGUCCAGUUUUUCACUACUGACUGUACCGUUGUCCCACCCGCGGGCAUCAGUGUCCCACCCUCGGGAGCCAACAGCCACACCGGAAGGAGCACAAGACGCCGGCAUGGAGAAUACGCGUCCAGCCGCAAGGAGACCAGCCACGCACAGACCGCUCAACACAGCACAGCACCCGGCAUCACAGACGCCUGUCACGGAUUCACAAUAUACAGGUAUUAUCACAGUUACCUGCCUCGUUUAAGCUGAUACCUGGUUGUUAUUUAAGCUGAUACCUGGUCGUUAUUUAAGCUGAUACCUGGUCGUUAUCUAUCCGACUAGCUGCUCUAUGUGCUUGCUUUGACCAUAUUGGUUUAAAGAUUACCUAUGUAAUUCUUUGAACCGGGUUUUGCUCAGUGGAAAAUCACCGAAUGGGCCACAUCUAAUGUUCAAUUGAUAUUCCAUGUGGUGAAAUCUGGUCCAAUAUUAUAUAAUUUUUAAUAUUGUCUAAUUGCCUAUUGAAGACACGAAAAGACAUAUGUCCAUAUUGUGAUCCUUUGGUAUGUAUUUGAUGUACUUUUUAAGUGGUAUAAGAACACUAUAAUGAGAUAAGAAUGUUUUUGUGUUAUUUAGAUUAUAAUAAACCCCUGAUGAAGUCUGUAGGACGAAACACGUUGGGUUAAGACAGUGAUUUCUGUCAUUUCUUCAAGGAAUUUCUGAUGUUGUUUUGACCAAAAUGGAUUAAUAUCAAAACAACGAUUGUCUGUACAAACAUCAUUUAUUGUCAUGUAUUGUCAUCUUGGGCAAAUUGUAAACAAUUUUAUUCAUUGUUUUAAUUGUUUUGUUUAAAGAAUAAAAAUUAUAUUUUUAA